CGUCGCCUCUCUCUCUUCCCCUCUCCCCGAUCCAGAUCGGCGACGAUGGCCCCCCAUCGCCGCCCCCUCCUUCCCCAUCCUGCCGCCGCCUCUCUCUCCCACCCACCCCGAUCCAUCCCCUCCCUUUGACUCUCACAUCACCUCCGCACCCAUCACCUCCCCUGGCGGGAUUCGUCGCUCCCCCUUCCUCCGUCUCGCUCACACCCACAGCCGCCGCCGCCGCCGCAACCCAAACCCUCUCCCUCCCACCCUGAUCCGCUGUCACCCCCACCGUCUACGACCCAGAUCGAGCAAGCGAGGCGGUGCUUCCAGACCCGCGACGGCGGCAGAGGGACGGGGCUGGGGGCGUGUGCCAGAUCUGCGCCGACGGCCUGGGCACCACGCUCGAAGGCAAGGUCUUCAGCGCAACCCCCCAACCCCACCCCACCCCUACCCACCCACCACAGCAACAAGGGCAAGCGUGCGUCAACAUCAGACGACUCGUCCCGGAUUGUGAUUCGCGAAGGCGUUUCUCGGCGGCCAGAUGAGCUCGCGGAUGGCCGGAUCGGUCCUCCUCCGCCGCGCCGGCGCUGGCGCCAACCGCCUCUUCGCCACCACCGCGACGUCCCCGGGGGCCAGGACCUCCCUCACCGGCGGCAAGGGCACGUUGGUGCGGAUGAUGUCCACUUCCGCGGCCUCGCAGGUGGUCAAGGCGGAGGCGGCCAAGGGCGAUGGUUAGAAGAAGGAGGUGGCGAUCAACAGCUACUAGGGGGAUCGAGCAGUCGAAGAAGCUGGUGCGUGAGGAAGACACCGAGUGGAAGUGGUCUUGCUUCAGGGUACGCUCUUCCCUUGCUUCCUCUGCUCUGCUUUUCCCGUUUCGGUUCCGUCGCCGGCGACGGGUCGCCAGAUGGGAGCGCGCGUGCGGUCGAUGUGCGCUGUAAUUUUAUUUACUUGUUGCGCCGCCGUCGUGUGUGAUUCAUUAGUUGGUUUCGCUGCCGCAGCCAUGGGAGACGUACACCGCGGACAUGUCGAUCGAUCUGACCAAGCACCACGUGCCCAACACGAUGCUCGACAAGAUCGCCUACUACACCGUCAAGUCCCUGCGCUUCCCCACCGACAUCUUCUUCCAGGUACGCGCGCUUCCUGGUCUGGCGCCCCUGCUACAUGCACGAGUGCAAGCGUCACGUGGCCGUGAGCAGGCCAGUUCCACGCCAACAAGAUGAACCUGGGCAUUGCAACUACCUAUGUACUCUUCUGUUGAUGAACUUCCUCCACACCUACAGUGACAAGAAAACACUGAAGAAGUGGUUCUUCAUCGACAAGACAGUUGGCUAAGAAAAUCCAGCUGAAAGAGAGACAACCAUCGUACCUGCCUGAGAAAGAUCCUGUCUACAGUGCAUGGAUGGUAAGGUCAUUGUUGUGAAGGCCCCACAGGAAGGCGUGGGGGAUUUGGCACAAGGCCGGCGAUCGAGUCUAUGCUCUCUCCUCCAUGGAAAGACCUAUGUUCAGCUUGCUUGAAUGAACAGUGUGUGUGGAACAGAUUCUUGUCUGAAUUCUCUUCUUGUGGGAUGAACUUGCUUGUAGUAUCUUGGAGUAUCAACUUGGAGCAUCUUGUUAGAGUAGCAUCUUGCAACACAUUCGAUUACUCCGGUACUGAUAUUUACAGUAGCAUCUUGCAAAAUGGAAUAGUUAGAGUAGCAUCUUUGAUUAACUAAAUUGAUGAUUACUGCUGUUAAAUUGGGACUUGCAAGCAGUAGUUCCCUCUUCUUAUCUCUUCUCUCUUGCAGUAGUUGUUGUAGUAGUAGUAGUUUCUUGCAGUAGUUUAGUGUACGAUUUGUCUUUGGUGGAGUAUUUCUUGAACUGUGUUGUAUUUCCUUUGACUAAAUAGUGAAUCUAGUUACAACAAAGCAUGCUAGUACUUGUCUUUGGUGGAGUAGUUUGACAGUGAGGAUCAGUGAUGUCCCCUAUUAAUUUGGUGUAGUUUUGAUAGUUAGAGUAGCAUGUUGGAGUAGGGUAGUCCACAUUUGUCUACAUUAGACCAGAUUAUUCCGAUUAGUCCACAUUUCAUAUUAUUCUUGGAGCACUGUACUAUAGCAGCAGUACUGUACUGUAGCAGCAACAUGAGUAAACUGAAUACUCCUUCAUAUGCUUGGUUCCUUCUUAUUCUUCCUCAGAUUGUGAAAAUGGAUUCCUUCCUUCUUAUGCACUGCACUGUACUGUAGUAUAGGUCAUCUUCGAAUUAAUACUCCAAAAUUUAUCAGUAUUGGAGGAUUUAUUGUUUCCAAAUCAAUACUCCUGGGCAUCAUUCAUGGUUGUCUAGUAGUCGACAUACUUCUGGUUCCAUUUAGUGUAUGCAGGUAGCAGCAGCUUAAGUGUAAUGGAGUUGUUUUGUUACUCUAUGCCUACUUCGUUAGAGUUGGCAUCAUCUCCUUGUCGUUUAUAGCAUAAACGCCUUCACUAUUCUUCCUCUGAACCUCUGAUCCUGAUGCUGAUUGUAUUUGUCUUGAUGGAAUUACAUGCAACAUGGUGACUCUAGUGCAGGCAGCGUUGGCCAUCCUCUUUGAGGCUAUGUUUAGGCGGUGUAGGACGAGCUGCAGCAGGACAACCUGGAGCGGAAGAACUUCGAGGGCAAGAUCAAGGAGAACCAGGAGACAAUCACCGGUUACCUCAUCCUCGUCGGCAUGCUUGGCUUCUUUGGCAGUCCCCUCUUUGGCUCCGACCAACUUACUUCUGUCGCUGGCUAGCAGCAUUUCCAGGUGUUGUGUUCUGGAAGAUGAAAGAGGAAGAAAAUUUAUUUUUGUUGAACUAAAUUUUUUGUAUUCUGUUUUGUUGUACGUAUGAUUUGAUAGUUUUGUAUAGGAACAUGUGAUACUAUUUUGUAGGGCUUUAUGGCCUGUGAU